CUAAUGUGACUGGGGAGAAUGACAGAUGGAUUUAACUGAGUCGAGUGGAUGACAGAUAAAAUUCAAGGGAAGUUACAAAGUAAUGUACCUUUGGAAGGAACAUCUGGAACUCUGAAUGAACUCUGUCAUCACAUAAAAAGACCUUAAACUGAAGCCAACCAGCAUUGAUAAGGAAGAUGUCCGACACAGGAGGAGGGAAGAUCAUCUCAGCCUACUCCUGAGAAGAAAAUUAAUGCGAGAGGAAAAAGUGAUGGGGUAGGAGAGCAUCGUGUCAAACCUGAUCAGUUUGUGCAGCAGGAGGCCGGGAGACAGCAUGGGCUGCAGAUCCUCAGACAAAGGCUUCAUUAAGAAGAAGGAGGUUUCAGCAGUUCGGACAGACCCCCAAGUGCUGUGCGCUGAAUGCAAUACUUGCAAAUUGGGAUUUUUUUCUCACAGGUAGGGUUUUCUCUGCUCUGCUGACUGGCUGUAGUUGGUGUGCAGUUGCACAGCCUAAGCUGGUGCUGUCUCGUGCCGUGGAGUCAGAAGUAUGUAAGACAUCUGUGUAAAUAAAACACACCAACAGGAAUUCUUCCAUGGCUGCUGGUGACUGAAGUGACACCAGCAAAAAUCACAGCCAGAUCAGGACAGAUGAGUGGGACUGUGCCAAAUGGGGUCUGAUCUGCCUCAGCCCUGUUCUUGGUGGAUGCAAAUACUGCAGUAGCUUCACUGAGUUUGUUAGUGCAAAUAUUUAGAAAUAGAGUUGCUUUAAGCUCCCUGAGGUGCUACUAAAUCUCGUAUUGCAGAUGUUUGCUGUUUACCAGAAACCUGAAUGACUUUAAGGCUCCCAGGAGUUCUCUCGCCUCUUCUGCAAUGAAGACCUUUCCAGGCAGAGGUGCCCAGAGAAUUGCUGCCAAGAUCAACUUUCCUACCUCCAGUACGUGCGUGGCAGGGAGGAGAGAGCACCUGGAGCGCUGGUGCUCCUGCCUCUGGCUGAGAGUUGAGAGAGCUGCUGAGCAUCUUCUCCUGCUUCUCCACAUAAUGCAGCUCAAAGCUGAGACCCAUCACUCAACCCAAGGAGAGCUAAUGCGUGGGUUACAGCCUUCCUGCCUCAGUCUUCCAGGCAUGCUGGUGCUUGAUCCCUCACGUAGGAGCUCCUUGGCCAGUCUGAUGUCUACCUGCUGCAUCCCUGGCUUUUGCAAUAUAACCCAACAGCCUGUGAUACUGGAAGCAUUUCGUAGCUAUUUUGUACCCUGUACUGUUUGCACCUGUGCGAAAUGGAUUUAUAGAGCUGACAGGCAGAUUUGGUGCCAUCUGAGCACCCUGUGGAUGACUGCACAGAGAGGAAAUCCUGGCAGAGAACAGGGCCUGAUCUAGGCAUCUCUUGCCUUGAAUUCCACGAAUUGUCACAGCACAAGAGAAGAAAUUAAGCCUUGAUUUGGCUACAUUUAGGCACUGGGUUUGGAGAUGGAUUAAGACCUUUCAAAACUCAUCUAGUCUAUCCCAUCCCCUCCUACCUCCUUUUCUAAGUAAACGUGGCGAUCCCGUAUACCGAUAACGCUCCCUCAGAUCUGGGAUAUCUUUUGGCUGUAUCUUUCGCCCCGCUGGAAAUCUCUCCCUUUCUGCCCUCCCUCCGCUCCACCCCACUCAAAUUCUUCAGCUGCAGCAGGGCAAGCAGCCAACCUCAUUUCUAAGCGCCUCUUGUCUGAGGCUCUAUCCAGAUGCUUUCGGAGAGAGGCCUGAUCAAAGCAGACAGUGCUGCGAUUGAGUCUGGUUGCAGGGAGCUGUGAAAUGAUCAUGGGCUCCCAGGAAAACCCCACAGCUCCCUGCCAGGAUUGUCUGGUGAGGCUUAUCACCAGCAGUGCGGUUGUCCCCAGCAUCCAGGAUGGCACAAAGGGCAGAAAGAGAUGAACAUCAGCAUUCGGUUGGCAACGUGAGCGGGUGGAAGGAUUUUGUUUUCUCUGUGGCAAGGCUGAUUUUUGAGUCCUUUCUGUGAUGUAAUUUACCCUUCCCUCUUUUUUUUUUUUUUUUUUCUAACUGUGACAAGCUGACUAGCUUACUCAGAAUUUCCUUGCUGAACAAUACGUAUAAUUUGAUGAUGAGUAUGACAGCAAUAGUAAUUAUGAUCUCUGUAUCUACAGAAGGAGUUGCUUUUACAAUGGAAAGUUUUUCCAGCUUGUGUUCAGUAAAGGUUAUGUUCACCACAUAAUGUCAUGGUGUAUAUCACAGCCUAUAAACUCUGGAGCAUUUUGAACUGUUAUCCGCACACAGUGUUGACAGUUUUCUGAAAGACUUAAUAUAAAGCUGUUCAGCCAGCUGAAGUAAGGUGCACUUGUCCAUGCUGUAACCCAUGGCACACUGAUGACCCAAAGGUGGA
rnacentral:lncRNA from 1 species